rnacentral:lncRNA from 1 species
GUUUAUUACAUUUAUUAAUAAACUUUAUUAUUUUUAAUGAACUGUUAAAUAUUUGAUGGCUUUAAAUUGCCUUAUAAAUUAAAAAGACUCCACUUUAACUGACAUAAAUACAAAAGGACAUCUCUUUUCUUUCAUAAAGGAAGUACAUCCAGGUAGGGAAGCUCAAGGUUGGCUGAUUCUGCAGCACAUGAUGCCACAGACCUUGAAUCUUUCCACCUCUCCACUCUGCUGUCCACAGUAUCUGCAUCAACUAGAGAAGAAAAGCCCCCUGGUCACAAGUGGCAAUCAGGUGGCCUUCCUUCUUGUUCACAUAGAGCAAAUGGAAGAGAAAAUUACUUUUUCCAAUGUGGAAUAGAAAGCCCCUUCAUAAUCUGACUGGUCCCUCUUGAAUUCUAGCCACCUGGGGGAUAUCAGGCACUGACUGAACUAGACCUACUUUGGGAUUGAGGUUAAAGUGGACCUCUGAGAAAAAUUAUGGAGAGAGAGAAGAUUCUGUUGAGGAAGGGGGAGUACAUGGAUGCCACCUCAGCUAUGACUCUCAGAAAAUAGAACCAUGUCUGGCUGGAGUGUGAAGCCAAAGCCAAAAUGCAAAUGCAAGAAAAGUCUCAUUAGAGAGCAGCACUGUCCAGCAGAUGUCCUGAAGGCAUCACCAUCACAGCUGCCUUUUAAUGUCACUGCACAGUAGAUGCCACUGCCACUAGAAGAGUGAUUUCCAGUCUGCAGUUCACUAACAUGAAGACUGCAUCACUGGUUUAAAUUCCAAGCCCAGGGCUGCAGCAUCUGACUGGCUAGCCUAAGUGACAUAUUAUUGCCCUAUCUGUUCCAGGAGGGGGAGAAGGCAUAUCCACCCCCUUCAUCUUUCAUAUGGGAAGCAGGAUCCUCCUGCACCAUGGCUCAUACCAAUGGAGGAGUCCCAAAAAUAAGGACACCUGGCUGGGUGUGGUGGCACACACCUGUAAUCCCAGUGACUUGGGAGGCUGAAGAAGAAGGAUUUGAAGCCAACCAUAUCAACUUAGCGAGGCCUCAAGCAACUUAGCAAUACCCUGUAUCAAAAUAAAGAAGGACCAGGAAUGUGGCUCAGUGGUUAAGCAUCCCUGAGUUCAAUCCCAGUACCAAAAAAUAAAAAAUGUGGAUUAUAGGGUAGCCAAAAAAAUGGUAACUGACCAUUUCAAACAUAGAGGAAAAGUCUUCAGAAAUAAUUCAGACCAAACAACGGGGGAGAUGUACAUUCAUACAUAUAAUAUAUGAACAUAUAUAUUUAUACAGACACAAUAGAUACAAGAGGAGUGAUUUAAUUCUGAUACAGCAUUUACUAUUUAUGUGACCUUGAUUGAACUCCUUAUGCCUCAGUUUCCUCACUUAUAAGUUGGAGAUGCUAAGGAGACUGAUCUCAUGGGAGUAGGUCCAGGACUAAUACUUAUAACAUACUUAGCACAAUACCUAAGAAAUAGUAAGUGCUCAGCAAAUGUUAAUUAUUAAUAAGAUAUCAGAGCAAUAAAGAAAGAUCUGUGACAUGACAGAAGACACUGAACUGUAAAUUGUUUCUGCAACCUUCAAGGUUUGUGGACUUCUGCCUUCAAAUUCAGAGCAGAAACCACUAUAAGACAUUGCUCGCUUACUUUCUGGUCCUAUUGGCCAGUUUAGCCUAGAGGAAAUGAGUUUUAAGCAAACAACAUAAUCCUCUGGAAGACGGACAUUCUCCAUUCUCUGGGAUUAACAGUUGACUUAAAGUCAGAAGACACAAGAGGAAAAAAUUGGCAGGAAAUGUACCAACAAUAUUAAUAGCAAUUAUCCCUGUGAUCAAGGGACAUUUGUAUUCUCUUCUUUUCCUUAUCAGAAUUUUCUCACCUCUAUAAUAUAUGGUCCUACUUUUGCAAAGUUUUUACAUGGAGUAAAUAUUUUAAUCUUAACCAUUUUACUGCUGAGAAUUAAUAACUAUAAGAAUCAUCUUCUUCUUAAUAUAACUUUGGGGAAAACGUUGACAGAGAUGACCAGAGGCAGUCACCUCGCCUACGGUGCUGGCAGCACCAGCUGCAGCUCAUUUUACUCCCUGCUAGAAAUGGGAGUAUUAUCAUAUGAUACUCAUGCCUCUUUUUAUAAAUAAUUUAUCGUUUUUUUGCAUGAACGUAAGAUAGCCUGAAGCUAGAAUGUUUAAAAGAAACGUCAGUGCCUUAUUCAUAAAAUAAUAAUGUGUUCAUUUGCCAGACAGUUUGUGAAAGUCCUGAAGCUAAAAUACACCUCAUUCCUGGUCUAUUUUCGGCCUGGAAAGGCCUUCCAAUCUCCUUGUCAGUUGGCACAUGAUAAGCUUUCUCUGAAACCGGGCUUUCCUAAAGCUGUAAAUUCACUCAAAGAAAACUAAAAGAUAAUUUGGCAAACAGGCAUAUUUACAAAAUCCAUGUCUCAAGUACACAGAUGCUUUUUUUAAACUCCCCCAAAAUAAAUUAUAAACAAAAGGAUAAUGGAGUCUAUGGUCCACCACGGCUUAAUCUGGGAAGUGAGGCCACAGAUUGUCGGCAUCCAUACAAGUCUAUUUCCCAAGCCUGACAGGGAGCUUCCCUUUGUAGAGUGGAAAGAGAGCAAUUCUGGAAGCUGGAAAUUACUAUGAUGAAAAGAAUUAUGGAGAAAACAAUGAUGAUAGGUGAUAAGAUCUGGGACUCCAUGGUAGGAGCUCCCAUUCCCACCCAACACCAUGGACUUUUAUAUAUGAGAGAUCUUCAUCUUGUUCUCUGUGAUGAUUUUUCAAAUACUAAGAUUGCUCUUGUCAAAAUAUUUUCAAACAGACAAAAGCCAAACUCAUGAUAUUGGUUGGCAGUAGGGUGACCAUUCCAGUUUCCUGGGGAUUAAGGAGUUUCUCAGGACUAGGGCCUUUUCAUGAUGGAGCAGAAAGUCCCAUGCAGGAGUAGUUGGUCACCCUACCAAAGCAGAGGGAUCCCUGGGAAAGGGACAGGAAAGAGAAUGGUAAUUGUGUCCUUUCAUGUGAUUGGAAUAUUGAGCCUUGUAAGUUUAAUAGUUAUUACGAUGGUUUGUCACUAUGAGAAGGCUCAUUAUUUAAAUUAGUAGAUAUCUCAGAGUGCAAACAAUAUAUUAUUAGACCUAUGCAAAAUUAAUAGCAUUAUAUUUAAGAUAUGUUUCAUUUGGGGUUUUUUUGUUUUUUUGUUUUGUUUUGUUUUAUUUUGUUGGUUUUUUUUUUGUUUGUUUGGUUGGUUGGUUGGUUUUUUUUAACCAGAAAUUGAACCCAGGGGCACCUAACCACCAAUCCACAGCCCCAGACCUUUUUAUUUUUUAUUUUGAGACAGAUUCUUACUAAGUUGCUCAGGGCCUUGUUAAAUUGCUGAGACUGGCUUUGAACUUUAGAUCCUCCUGCUUGAGCCUCCAGAGCCACUGGCAUUACAGGCACGUGCCCCACACCCAGCUUCAUUUGUUUUUAAAAUAUGUCCUCCAAAGGACAUUAUCAAAAGAACUCAAAGAUAGGCACAGUUCUUUAACACUCAUGCUCACAACCCUGAACCAUCAUCGAACCUCACACAUCAAGGUUCCCUUUUGAAGAUUAGGAAACAGGCUCAAUGAGGUUAUCCGACUUGCCCAGAGUCAGACCAAAGCGUGCGUCAGGACCUCUGUCCCCCAGGGCGGUCCUCUUUUCUGCUGGCCUACUUCACAUCUGGUUAGCAUUGUCAAGCCAUGGAAAUAGCAGGCUGCUGCCAAAGAGAAAUGUUCCUAUCAGUUUCUCAAGUGUCCCCGAGGAAUGCUGCAGAAAGCCCGUGAUGACAUAAUAUUGGCUGACAGAGCCGUCCCAGCCAAGGGAGCUGCAGCAACCAGUGCCACCCACAGAGAAACUCUUCCCUGGAUUUCAACAGGACACAAAGUCCCGAGGUGCACAACGCCGAGAGGGGCCCCAACCUCUGAGCUAGGGGCGCACCAUCUGUCCACGGCUCCUUUUGCAGUUCAGCAUUUUUCUUUUCACAUCAAAGUUGCAUCCGAUUGAGAGGCGAAGACCAGCUGGGCAGAAGUAAACAGGUUUAAGUCUUCUAUCCCCAGAAAAGCAGAGGAUGAAGAGGGGGCAGUUCAUCUUCCAGAUGGCCAUUGGUAAAAUUAACACUGAUUGUGCAGCAGACCCCCAACCUGCUUGAAAAAACAGCAGCUGUUGUCUCUGCAUGCAGUUCCGAGUGGAUUCACCCCCAUGUCCAGAAACAUCCCCUCCAUACCUGUCCCUGCUGCGACUCCCCAACCAGCAUCAACAGCCCUUGCAGCGAAGGCCCAAAUUAGAUUUCAUAUUCACACAAACUCGUGUUUUCAUUCCCAGGCAGAACUUGGGCCUUUGAAAGAUGGGGACACAGGAAAGUUUCCAGCUGACCCCAGGUAGGUGGGUCUUUCUCCUGUUGCCCACAGGGUAGAUUCAAAAGCUGCAUCCCUCUAUCAACUCACCCCAGCCCCCCUCUGGCCCUUCUAUCCCACAAGUGUCACCCACUUCCCAAAAAAGCACUGCUCUGCAUUCCUGAACAUCUUGACUUACAUCUUUUCUUGUUCCCUUCCAAUCUCAGGGUUACACCAUCCUGACCCCUCAGCUCCUUUGCUCUGGAUUCUACCCUCCCCAUCUCCAGGGCUUUGCUCCAAGGAUUACCUAUCUCCUCCUAUGUCUCCAAACCUCUGCUAAAAAACUUUUUAUUCUAACCUCUCAUUGCUUUGAAAGAAAACGUGCCCCAACUUUAUGUGUCUCCUUCCUUACACUAAGAGCUUAGCAGCGUGACUGUACAUUUACUCCUUAAACAUUAGAUUCUGUUAUUAUUAUUAGCAGUCACUGUCUGCUCCCUUUCUAAGCAUCCUUUCUGGGCACUUGAGGAUGCUGGGUCUUCCUGCCUUGGUACUCGAUGCUCCCUUGAUGGUUAAGACCACUUGCCCUGUGUGUUCCAUCCUCCCCUCUGCCCCUCCAUCACCCUCCUACAGAGUCCUCUCUCCCUCUGCCCCAGCUCCUUGGUCCUCAACCAUGAUCCCAACUUUAAGUGAUUUUCUAUUUGCCCCAUGACCAUCUUCAAGCACUCCUGACCACAAGAACCUCAAACUCAACAUGUCCAAAACUGGGCUCCUUGUCUCUCCCCGAAGCCUGUUCUGUGUCCAGAGCUUCCUGUCUCUGUUGGUCACUCCACUCCUAUUGUUGAAGCCAGAAAUCUGGGAUCUUGCUGCCCUUCUCCUCCUCCUCAUUCCCUAUCACUAACCAAUAGAGUCCAACUUCAUCCACAAGUAAGGCACGCUGUUUAUUUGUUUAUCCAUGUUCCAACGUGCACAGCAAUGCAACAUCCACUGAAUCAGAAAGUUGGUGUUUUAUUUUUUGAUGUAUCUUCAUCAACCAAAAAUGUGCUUGGCACAUAGGAAAUGUUCAAUAAAUGUUGCUGGAUUGAAUGAAUAAGUACCCUCUGCUUUAGUUUAUAUCACCUUAUGUGGAAGUUGACCAUGAAUGUUUGAAGUCACAGAGCAAGAGCUGGGGACUUUGAACUUAUCAUUUACAUUCAGUGCCACUUUAAAUUAACUUACUGAGCCGAAGUUUCCUUCUCUGUAUCAGAGGCGUAAAAUAGCAUCUAACGAAAGAGUUUGUUAUUAGGCUACAAUGAAAUCACACACCUGAGAGCUUAGCAACAUGACUGUACAUUUACUCCAUAAACAUUAGAUUAUGUUAUUAUUAUUGCUGUCAUUCUCUCCUGACCUUGUGUCUCACCUGUGUUAUAAUAUCCUAACUAUUCUCCUAGCCUACUCCCCUUAUGUGAAUCCCAGCUAUGGGUAUGAAUAGGUCCUUCAAAAUUAAAAAUUUUCACAUGUUGAAAACUUAAUCUCCAAUAAGAUAGUGUUGGGAGGUGGGGCCUUUGGGGACAUGUUCAGGUUGUAAGUGGGGAGCCCUUGUGAAUGGAUUAGUGCCAUCCUAAAGGCCUUGGGGGAGGGAGUUCUUCCCUCUUGCCCUUCCAUCUUCUGCCAUGUGAGGCCCAGCUGACGUGUGCCAUUUUGGAAACAGAGAGCUGAUCUCUCCAGAGGCCAGAGCCUUUCUGUUUAUUACCCAGUCUGAGGUAUUCUUUACCGAUACACAAAAAUUACUAAGAUAAUCAUCAUCCUACUAUCUAACAAGGGUUAUAUUUUUCAAUGAAAAAAUAAGUAUCGGACUCUCUUACUUAGAAAACUCCUAAAGGGUUUAAAUUCUUUGUCUCCUGUGUCCAAAUGUCUUAGUAUGAUCCCAGUUUCAUCUACCUCCAGUCCCCAUCUACCCCAAAAUCUAACUUCACUAAACUAUUUUCUAUACCUCCCUUCCAAGAUUUUGCCUAAGCUGUUCCCGGGUUCUUCUACGAGGAAUACUCCGCCUCCAUUGUUUGCCUAAAGAACUCUU